UCCAGCUUAAUUAUAAACUGUCAUCCAUUAUAUCUUUACUUUUAGAUUUUUACUCUACUGUAAUAUAAACGCUAUUUGUAUAUUAUAAUGUGGUCGUGAUUAAAAGUACUAAUGGAUGAACGGUAGAUCAGAAAAAAAUUUUGCUCGAUUAUUGCGUAAUGAGUUGUAUUCGCUUUUUUCGAACACGUAUUUUAUGCAGUUAUAUAUAUAAGGACGGGACUAUCCUGUCUUUCAUUAUCAUUAUAAUAGCUUUAUGUACAAAAAAAACUUUA
rnacentral:lncRNA from 1 species